rnacentral:rRNA from 1 species
UACAGAGGUCUCAAGCGUUGUUCGGAUUCAUUGGGCGUAAAGGGUGCGUAGGCGGCGCGGUAAGUCGGGUGUGAAAUCUCGGAGCUUAACUCCGAAACUGCAUUCGAUACUGCCGUGCUUGAGGACUGGAGAGGAGACUGGAAUUUACGGUGUAGCGGUGAAAUGCGCAGAUAUCAGGAGGAACACCGGUGGCGAAGGCGGGUCUCUGGGCAACAACUGACGCUGAGGAGCGAAAGCGUGGGGGAGCGAACAGG